UGUCUUUGAGGGAUGCACUUAAGCUCAGCCAAGAUGAUCCCAUGCCUACACUCCUUGAAGAAUCAAACUCUGAUUGUCAGACCUUAAAUCUAGUAAACUGUGGCUUGCCUCAACCAAGUAACAUUAUAUCCGAUGCUGAUUUAGAGUGCAGAAAUCAGAGUGCUAACAUGGCUGCCGAUCAGACAGUAAAGGAAUGGCAAAGCGUUUCGGUUUCUGUUCCUAUUAAGGUAACUAUCAAUGAUAUUAUUGUGUUAAGUGACAGUGAUGAAGAAGAUGUGAACAUUGAAGUCACUUCAUCAGGAAGAAAGGAAGUGAAGAGUCCUGAUAUUAAUAUUUGGCAUUGUUCGGGUGUUUAUGGUAGUGGAACAAGAAGGCCUGUUUCAUUUUCUGCACUCAAACGAUGGAGUGAAUCUGAAUUCGAUUCCUCAUCUUCUCACUUAGAGUUCAAGGUAUGGAAGACAUGUGAGAGCGAAAGAGAGACAAUGUCUUUGAGGGAUGCACUUAAGCUCAGCAAAGAUGAUCUCAUGCCUACACUCCUUGAAGAAUCAAACUCUGAUUGUCAGACCUUAAAUCCAGCAAACUGUGGCUUGCCUCAACCAAGUAACAUUAUAUCCGAUGCUGAUGUAGAGUGCAGAAAUCAGAGUGCUAACAUGGCUGCCGAUCAGACAGUAAAGGAAUGGCAAAGCGUUUC
rnacentral:lncRNA from 1 species